ACGUAGGGCGCAAGCGUUGUCCGGAAUUAUUGGGCGUAAAGAGCUCGUAGGCGGCUUGUCACGUCGGGUGUGAAAGCCCGGGGCUUAACCCCGGGUCUGCAUUCGAUACGGGCUAGCUAGAGUGCAGAAGGGGCAAUCGGAAUUCUCGGUGUAGCGGUGAAAUGCGUAGAUAUCGAGAGGAACACCUGAGGUGAAGACGGGUUGCUGGGCUGACACUGACGCUGAUGCGCGAAAGCCAGGGUAGCAAACGGUA
rnacentral:rRNA from 1 species